rnacentral:rRNA from 1 species
AUUCCAGCUCCAGUAGCGUAUAUUAAAGUUGUUGCAGUUAAAAAGCUCGUAGUUGGAUUUCUGGUUUCACAGAACUGGCCUACUUCCUCAAGGUCGUGUGCGCCGUGUUUUGUGUACCAUCCUUCUAGAAAUUGUGUUCCAUCCCUUCACUGGGAUAGAUCCGAGAUCUAGAUCUUUUACUUUGAAGAAAUUAGAGUGUUCAAAGCAGGCUCGCGCUGUGAAUACAUUAGCAUGGAAUAAUAAUUUAGGACUUGGUAUCCUAUUUUGUUGGUUUGUACUCCAAGGUAAUGAUUAAUAGGGACAGUUGGGGGUAUUCGUAUUCAAUUGUCAGAGGUGAAAUUCUUGGAUUUAUUGAAGACGAACUUCUGCGAAAGCAUUUACCAAGGAUGUUUUCAUCA